UAGGGAAUCUUCCGCAAUGGACGAAAGUCUGACGGAGCAACGCCGCGUGAGUGAAGAAGGAUUUCGGUUCGUAAAACUCUGUUGUUAGGGAAGAAAAAAUGUAUAGUAACUAUAUACAAAAGAGACGGUACCUAACCAGAAAGCCACGGCUAACUAUGUGCCAGCAGCCGCGGUAAUACGUAGGUGGCAAGCGUUGUCCGGAAUUAUUGGGCGUAAAGCGCGCGCAGGUGGUUUAGAAAGUCUGAUGUGAAAGCCCACGGCUCAACCGUGGAGGGUCAUUGGAAACUAAUAAACUUGAGUGCAGGAGAGAAAAGUGGAAUUCCUAGUGUAGCGGUGAAAUGCGUAGAGAUUAGGAGGAACACCGGUGGCGAAAGCGGCUUUUUGGCCUGCAACUGACACUGAGGCGCGAAAGCGUGUGGAGCAAACAGG
rnacentral:rRNA from 1 species